AGAGUUUGAUCCUGGCUCAGGACGAACGCUGGCGGCGCGCCUAAAACAUGCAAGUCGAACGAGAAGCCCGGGCUUGCCCGGGUGGACAGUGGCGAACGGGUGAGUAACACGUGAGGAACCUGCCCCGAAGACCGGGACAACACCGGGAAACCGGUGCUAAUACCGGAUACCUUCAUCAGAUCGCAUGGUCUGGUGAAGAAAUGGAUUCCGCUUCGGGAUGGCCUCGCGGCCUAUCAGCUAGUUGGUGAGGUAAAGGCUCACCAAGGCGACGACGGGUAGCUGGUCUGAGAGGAUGUCCAGCCACACUGGGACUGAGACACGGCCCAGACUCCUACGGGAGGCAGCAGUUAGGAAUCUUGCGCAAUGGACGAAAGUCUGACGCAGCGACGCCGCGUGCGGGAUGACGGCCCUCGGGUUGUAAACCGCUUUCAGCAGGGACGAAAUUGACGGUACCUGCAGAAGAAGCCCCGGCCAACUACGUGCCAGCAGCCGCGGUAAUACGUAGGGGGCAAGCGUUGUCCGGAUUUAUUGGGCGUAAAGAGCUCGUAGGUGGUUUGGUAAGUCGGAUGUGAAAUCUCCAGGCUCAACCUGGAGGGGUCAUUCGAUACUGCCAUGACUAGAGGUCGGUAGGGGAGUGUGGAAUUCCUGGUGGAGCGGUGAAAUGCGCAGAUAUCAGGAGGAACACCCGUAGCGAAGGCGGCACUCUGGGCCGAUUCUGACACUGAGGAGCGAAAGCGUGGGGAGCGAACAGGAUUAGAUACCCUGGUAGU
rnacentral:rRNA from 1 species